ACUGCCCAUUUAAAAGAACUCGUGCUGUAAGUAAUCGUCAUCGAUCAAAUCAAUGGACUCUGUUUAGGAGAGCAGAGCACAUUAAUUGUGCUCACUAGGUUCACGACGUAAGAUCAUAUGACCGUAAGAUCUGUACAGACAGGGAUUGUGAACACGGUAUUUGGCUAUGUUGUAAAAUAAGGCAGUGUGUGGCUUAAUCCUUGAGGAAAAUAUACAAAUUGUGUAUACUUCAUUCUCGAUAUGGUAUCCCGAUGUACAAUCAUCUGCAAAAUUGUUAAUAAAAAUACUAAAGCAUAAGAAAUGAAGAGGACUGUGCCUUUUUACGGGUAGUUUUGCUGGUACACGAGUAGAUGGUUGUCCACACACAUUGUGCAAAAGGCCCGGUAUUCGUCCCACGGAGGUACUGUCAGCCAGCGCUUUUAAAAGCUGUUCUUACCAAGAGGCCUGCAGUAAUGAGAUUCCUUAGACGUGGCACCAAGAAGAGGACCAGUGGAACUGACUCCCUUCACGAAUCCGCAUCUCUUGAAUCAUUAUCUCCUACAUCCUCCGAGAGCUGAUGUCUGACAUAGCAUGUCAACUGAUGACAGAGAACGUCCAGACUCGCCGUGUUGGAUUAUCAGUAAAUAAAGAGCAAAUUGGACUCCCAUCAACUGAAAUCAUCUCUGAAGUCUUUGGCCCAAAGGCCGUGGAACAUUGCUGACCUGCCACCACAACCAAACAGAUGUAAUUGUUACACAGUUCUAUCAACAUUAUAUUAUAUAGUACAUCAUCUUGAUAGCUGAUGCAAAGCAGUAACCAGUGAUCGACAGUGCUGUACAAACAGUGGUCAUAUGCAAUGUUAAACGUCUCAAUAAAUUCGUCAGAUGAACAGUU